CACUCUAUACCUGAUAACAAUUUCUUAAAACCUCCUCGAACUCCUCCAACUGUCAAAGAAAUCUCUAACAACUUCCAACUGUCACGAACCACCCUAUAACUAACUCCAUAACCAACUUCUUCAACCUCGUCUAACUCCAUAACCAACUUCUUCACUCUCUAAUUUCCAAAACUUCCAAACUUUAAUCUCCCUCUCUUCCAAUCUUCCUCAACUCUAAUCGAAAAUUACUAACCAAAAACCUCACCCCUCAACAGAAUUUAAA
rnacentral:lncRNA from 1 species